GCCGAGGUGACGGAGCGGGUAGACGCGCCAGACUUAAAUUCUGGCGACGGCGACAGCGUGUCGGUUCGAUUCGGACCCUCGGUA
rnacentral:tRNA from 1 species